rnacentral:misc_RNA from 1 species
GAAAUGCGAUAAGUAGUGUGAAUUCCAGAAUUCAGUGAAUCAUCGAAUCUUUGAACGCACAUUGCGCCCCUUCGUAUUCCAUGGGACAUGUCUGUUCGAGCGUCAUUUGUACCCUCAAGCUUUGCUUGGUGUUGGUUUUUUGUCCUCUCUGGAGGACUCGCCUUAAAACACUUGGCAGCCGGCAUAUUGGUAUCGGAGCGCAGAACAAGUCGCGCUUCUUUCCAUGAAUGUCAGCAUCCAUCACGACUAUUUUCACUCUUGACCUCGGAUCAGGUAGGGAUACCCGCUGAACUUAA